rnacentral:rRNA from 1 species
GAACUCGCACAAGCGGUGGAGCAUGCGGUUUAAUUCGAUGCAACGCGGAGAACCUUACCAGGUCUUGACAUACUAUUGACAAGACUAGAGAUAGUCCUUUUCUUCGGAACAAUAGAUACAGGUGGUGCAUGGUUGUCGUCAGCUCGUGUCGUGAGAUGUUGGGUUAAGUCCCGCAACGAGCGCAACCCUUAUCAUUAGUUACUAACAUUAAGUUGAGAACUCUAAUGAGACCGCCGGUGAUAAACCGGAUGAAGGUGGGGAUGACGUCAAAUCAUCAUGCCCCUUAUGACCUGGGCUACACGCGUGCUACAAUGGCUGGUACAAAGAGCUGCAAUACUGUGAAGUGGAGCUAAUCUCAUAAAGCCAGUCUCAGUUCGGAUUGUAGUCUGCAACUCGACUACAUGAAGUUGGAAUUCGCUAGUAAUCGUAAAUCAGAAUGUUA